AAUUCUCAACCCCUCUCGAUUAGCUUCGAGCGGGGCUUGGAUAGUGGGGGCUGCCGGAGACCUGAAAUCAUUUUUUCAGGACUCGGGCUCCCCUGAAAUGCAUCGGCUUGCGGUCGACUUUCGACUUUGCGCGACAAGGCUUUCGGCGUGAUAAUGAUCGCCGUUCGCCGAAGCGCACGAAUGAACCGUCCCGCGCCUCUAAUCAGUCGACGCCUUUCGGGGCGUCUUCCUUAUAGAC
rnacentral:misc_RNA from 1 species